rnacentral:rRNA from 1 species
GUUGAACGCUGGCGGCAGGCCUAACACAUGCAAGUCGAACGAGUGGCGGAGGGGUGAGUAAUGGCUGAGAAACUGCCUGAUGGAGGGGGAUGACUACUGGAAACGGUAGCUAAUACCGCAUACCAUCGGAUGUGCCCAGAUGGGUUUAGCUAGGAGGUGGGGUAAAGGCUCACCGAGGCGACGAUCCCUAGCUGGUCUGAGAGGAUGACCAGCCACACUGGAACUGAGACACGGCCCAGACUCCUACGGGAGGCAGCAGUGGGGAAUAUUGCACAAUGGGCGAAAGCCUGAUGCAGCCAUGCCGCGUGUAUGAAGAAGGUCUUCGGGUUGUAAAGCACUUUCAGCGGGGAGGCGUUACCCGAAGAAGAAGCAACGGCUAACUCCGUGCCAGCAGCCGCGGUAAUUC